GCCUGGAGUCCACGCCGCGGAACUCUGGUUCUGGUCCACGGUCAGCAGGAGCUGUCCAGGGCUGAUAAAGCAGACUGUCGCCCUGGGCCCCGGCUCGCCCAGGGAAGCCACGAGUGCCCGUGACAGCUGCCUCACAGAGUGUCCUGGACAGAGCUGGCCUGGACAGUGUCCACAGAGUGGGUGGACUGCCAUCCCAUAGAAGCGUGGACUCCACCACGGACCCCCUGCGGCAAAGUGAUGGGAAAGCACGCAGGAAGGGCGCAGGCGCAGCUCAAGGGGCUGUGUCCUAGUACUAACACCUGAGAAAGUGGAAUUCAGGGUGAAAAAAGGUGAAGCGGGCCAGGAGAGCAUGUUACACCCAUAAAACCCACAUCCACAGAGCCAUUCUGAGAGUCACAGCAUGGCACUGGACACAGCUCUGUGGGUGAGCAGGAUUUCGUGUUAAAAGGAAACAUGCCGCGGGAUGGAAUCAUUCGUGCUAGCCGCCACCCACCCUUGACACCUGAUCUAAUUGUACUUUAAGCCUCUCCCACGAGUGGAAUUUUAAACCAAUCUGUUCAGAAUUUCCUGGUCAGCACUAAUCUUCCUUGGUAAGGUAAAAGGUAAUCUGCUUGAUAAGACCCCGGCUUCCCUAAGGGAAGGUGACCUUGACCAAAAUAAAACGCACUUGACAGCCUCGUGUACCCCCUUCCAUCCCCCCCCCAUUUACCUAUAAAAACCUUUCUUGUACAGCUUCUUGGAGCUCUGUUCCAUCUUCCAGGUGGGAUGUUGCCCAAGUCAUGAAUUGUUGAAUAAAGCCAAUUAGAUCUUCAAAUUUA